CGCGGCUUUGUGGAUCUAUCAGCGUGCAUCGAUGUGCAGCGUUUUCCCCGGCGCCGAUUUACUAUUUCGAGGCUUUUUUAACCACUUCAUCAAAAGGACGUCCUCUGGUCGAAGUCAACGAAAAGCUCUCUCAAUCAAGAUUGCUGACCUGACGAAGAUCUCGAAAGAGGAAUCUGUAAAAAGAUAUGCUGUGCUAAUAAAUGCUUCUAGCAAUUUUA